UACAGAGGGUGCGAGCGUUAAUCGGAAUUACUGGGCGUAAAGCGCACGUAGGUGGUUAGAUAAGUUAGAUGUGAAAUACCAGGGCUUAACCUUGGAGGGUCAUUUAAUACUGUUUAGCUAGAGUACGGUAGAGGGAAGUGGAAUUUCCGGUGUAGCGGUGAAAUGCGUAGAUAUCGGAAGGAACAUCAGUGGCGAAGGCGGCUUUCUGGACUGAUACUGACACUGAGGUGCGAAAGCGUGGGGAGCAAACAGG
rnacentral:rRNA from 1 species